rnacentral:rRNA from 1 species
GUGGAGCGUGUGGCUUAAUUUGACAACACAGAGAAUCUUACCAGGUCAGGACAUAUUGAGGAUUGACAGUUACAGGAUAUCUCUUAUAUAAUUUUUAUUAUAUAAGGUAAGAUAGUGUAUAGAAUGAUAGUUCUUUCAUGAUUAUGUGAUAAGUAGUGCAUGGCCGUUGUUAGUUCGUGGAAUAAUCUGUCUGCUUAAUUGCGUACCUAAUAAACUAAUAAUGUUUAGGUUUUUAUCAAAACCUUAUUUAAUACAUUGUUUAUAUAUAUAUAUCUGCAACGAACGUGACCG